rnacentral:rRNA from 1 species
UAGGGAAUAUUGGUCAAUGGGGGCAACCCUGAACCAGCCAUGCCGCGUGCAGGAUGACUGCCCUAUGGGUUGUAAACUGCUUUUGUACGGGAAGAAAUCAUCGAUCGUGAUCGAUGUUGACGGUACCGUGAGAAUAAGGAUCGGCUAACUUCGUGCCAGCAGCCGCGGUAAUACGAAGGAUCCAAGCGUUGUCCGGAUUUACUGGGUUUAAAGGGAGCGUAGGCGGAUCUUUAAGUCAGUGGUGAAAGCUCCCAGCUUAACUGGGAAACUGCCAUUGAAACUGAAGAUCUCGAGUAUGGUUGAGGUGACUGGAAUGUUGCAUGUAGCGGUGAAAUGCUUAGAUAUGCAACAGAACACCAAUUGCGAAGGCAGGUAACUAAGCCAUAACUGACGCUGAGGCUCGAAAGCGUGGGGAGCAAACAG